UAGGGAAUAUUGCACAAUGGAGGAAACUCUGAUGCAGCGACGCCGCGUGAGUGACGAAGGCCUUCGGGUUGUAAAGCUCUGUUCUCUGGGAAAAAGAAAGUGAUUGUACCAGAGAAGAAAGGACCGGCUAACUUCGUGCCAGCAGCCGCGGUAAGACGAGGGGUCCAAGCGUUGUUCGGAAUCAUUGGGCGUAAAGCGGGUGUAGGUGGCUCUAUAAGUCAGGAGUGAAAGCCCCAAGCUUAACUUGGGAAGUGCUUUUGAUACUGCAGAGCUUGAAUGUGGGAGAGGAUAAUAGAAUUCCAGGUGUAGUGGUGAAAUACGUAGAUAUCUGGAGGAAUACCGGUGGCGAAGGCGGUUAUCUGGCCCAACAUUGACACUGAGACCCGAAAGCGUGGGGAUCAAACAGGAUUAGAUACCCCCGUAGUCC
rnacentral:rRNA from 1 species